AAAUUGAAGAGUUUGAUCAUGGCUCAGAUUGAACGCUGGCGGCAGGCCUAACACAUGCAAGUCGAACGGUAACAGGAAACAGCUUGCUGUUUCGCUGACGAGUGGCGGACGGGUGAGUAAUGUCUGGGAAACUGCCUGAUGGAGGGGGAUAACUACUGGAAACGGUAGCUAAUACCGCAUAAUGUCGCAAGACCAAAGAGGGGGACCUUCGGGCCUCUUGCCAUCGGAUGUGCCCAGAUGGGAUUAGCUAGUAGGUGGGGUAACGGCUCACCUAGGCGACGAUCCCUAGCUGGUCUGAGAGGAUGACCAGCCACACUGGAACUGAGACACGGUCCAGACUCCUACGGGAGGCAGCAGUGGGGAAUAUUGCACAAUGGGCGCAAGCCUGAUGCAGCCAUGCCGCGUGUAUGAAGAAGGCCUUCGGGUUGUAAAGUACUUUCAGCGGGGAGGAAGGGAGUAAAGUUAAUACCUUUGCUCAUUGACGUUACCCGCAGAAGAAGCACCGGCUAACUCCGUGCCAGCAGCCGCGGUAAUACGGAGGGUGCAAGCGUUAAUCGGAAUUACUGGGCGUAAAGCGCACGCAGGCGGUUUGUUAAGUCAGAUGUGAAAUCCCCGGGCUCAACCUGGGAACUGCAUCUGAUACUGGCAAGCUUGAGUCUCGUAGAGGGGGGUAGAAUUCCAGGUGUAGCGGUGAAAUGCGUAGAGAUCUGGAGGAAUACCGGUGGCGAAGGCGGCCCCCUGGACGAAGACUGACGCUCAGGUGCGAAAGCGUGGGGAGCAAACAGGAUUAGAUACCCUGGUAGUCCACGCCGUAAACGAUGUCGACUUGGAGGUUGUGCCCUUGAGGCGUGGCUUCCGGAGCUAACGCGUUAAGUCGACCGCCUGGGGAGUACGGCCGCAAGGUUAAAACUCAAAUGAAUUGACGGGGGCCCGCACAAGCGGUGGAGCAUGUGGUUUAAUUCGAUGCAACGCGAAGAACCUUACCUGGUCUUGACAUCCACAGAACCUUGUAGAGAUACGAGGGUGCCUUCGGGAACUGUGAGACAGGUGCUGCAUGGCUGUCGUCAGCUCGUGUUGUGAAAUGUUGGGUUAAGUCCCGCAACGAGCGCAACCCUUAUCCUUUGUUGCCAGCGGUCCGGCCGGGAACUCAAAGGAGACUGCCAGUGAUAAACUGGAGGAAGGUGGGGAUGACGUCAAGUCAUCAUGGCCCUUACGACCAGGGCUACACACGUGCUACAAUGGCGCAUACAAAGAGAAGCGACCUCGCGAGAGCAAGCGGACCUCAUAAAGUGCGUCGUAGUCCGGAUUGGAGUCUGCAACUCGACUCCAUGAAGUCGGAAUCGCUAGUAAUCGUGGAUCAGAAUGCCACGGUGAAUACGUUCCCGGGCCUUGUACACACCGCCCGUCACACCAUGGGAGUGGGUUGCAAAAGAAGUAGGUAGCUUAACCUUCGGGAGGGCGCUUACCACUUUGUGAUUCAUGACUGGGGUGAAGUCGUAACAAGGUAACCGUAGGGGAACCUGCGGUUGGAUCACCUCCUUA
rnacentral:rRNA from 2 species